rnacentral:snRNA from 1 species
GUGCUUGCUUCAGAGGCAUGUAUAUUAAAGUUGACAUGACACAGAGAAGAUUAGCAUGGCCCUUGAGCAAGGAUGACAUGCAAAUUGGGGAACCAUUCCAUAUUUUA